CCGGAAGACGUUGCAUGAAGUCACGGUAGGGAGACAACAGACGUAGCCCUUCGAGACCCAUUGAGAGUAAAGGGUACUAGAGAGAUAAGAGAUAGAUAAGUAAGAGAUAAAUGCAUAAAUACAUAUAUAGAUAGCCUAGAUAGAUAGAUGGAUAGACAUAUAGAUAGACAGCAUAGAUAUUGACCGAUAUAGAUAUAGACCGAGAGAUAGGGAGACAGACAGACAGAUAGCAUAGCAUAGCAUAGCAUAGCGAGUUAGGUAGGUGGGUAAGUAGGUGUAGAUUUAGAAUGGUGUACAACUGUGUUUGUGCUGGGUGUAAUAACUCUAGCAAAACAGGACACAGGGUCCAUGCCUUUCCGAAGGACAAGGCAACCCUCAGACAGUGGGUACAGUUUGUCCGCGUUAGACGGGCAGAUUUUUCUAUUCCCUCGGUCACAAAGAACUCCAAGGUCUGCAGCGCUCAUUUCACGGAGGAGGAUUACGAGGGGAUGUCAGGAUGGUAUCUCUCGGGUUAAAUAGGCUGGCACAGCUUAUUCCGAACGCCGUGCCUUCUGUGCACACGCAUCUCUCUGCCUGCCCUGCCCCGAGACCGAGAGGCACCAAGAUCAGUGCCGCCAGCCGCAAGCGAGAGCUGGCUAUGGUAAGCCUCAUGCUAAUGUUUACAAGCUGUGCGUUAGCUAGCCCUGUGUGUACUAUAUACCGUAUUCCCUUUGACCCCGCCUCCACUACAGUCAUGACUCAUGAUCAGUCUGACAUUAGAAAAGCACAUUUCGUGAUUCAUGAAUAUGAACCAAAACAAAAUUGUCCUGAAGUAAAUGUCCAAAAGCUUGUCAUAUAGAAAGCGCCAUGGCUAGUGUUUGGAUCACUGGCGCUCAUCAAGCGGCUUUCACAUUGCCCUUUUCCUGAUGGAAAGUGACUAUUACGGUCCUCUUUCAUAUGUAUUUAGACCUGACCGUGUCGCUAAUCUAUUUACGCAAGAUGUUGACAGAUGCCUCACCGUGUGAGACCACGGACAGUGUCAAUGCUGCUACGGUAGAGGACCCCUUGCCCUAAUACACUUGUGACACUGGGACACAGAGUAUUUUGAAGCCCCUUGGAAGGUCUCACGGUAAAUCUUUAUUUCAUACUCUGGGGAUCUCAUAACAUUCUUUUUACUGUAAAUAUGUUUGCUAUAAUUCAUAUGCAGGACAAUUUCACGUGUUUCCACUGGAGAAAAAAAUCGGUCUAUUUGUAUGUCUGCUGUGUGUGUGCCUACCUAUCUUGGUCUCUUGCAGGCUCAAUGGCAGCAGUAAAACUGGAGGGUAUCAUCACAAGGACAUCCUUACUGAAGGAUGUUCGACAGCUGUCUCCGCAGCACCAGACUUACUCCUCUGAAGCCUUCCACUCCCUGAUCCUGCACUUCGCGCCCAAGCACACUGGGUUUCCAUACCAUGGCAUGUAUAGCAGAAAUGCAUUCGGAAGAGAAGGGAGACUAGCGUUGCUCACGGGUUGGAAUGAAAGGGAGAAAAGGGGACAGAGUUGCCUGCGGAAGCGAUGUCUGAGAUGCAGAGACUGCUUCACGCUACCAGUGUCAGUUUCGUACGGUGUGGAAUGAGAGCUCGUGAAGGCACUAUUGUGAAGGUUAUGCAACGUCAUUAAUCGAGGCCCUUCGGGAGAGCUACAUCGAUUCACCCAAGGCUCUUCAAGAGGUUCGCGAAAUCCUUCCAACAAAUUCCCAAGGAGGAGGCCGUCAGCCAUCUAGCCCAGCAGUCACGCUACAAAAAAUUGAAUUAGAAUAUUUUUUUCCCAGACAGGUCCAAUCAUUUAGUUGACGUCGACGUCAGAGGUCACGGAAGGAACGCAGGUCGUGAUCAAUGAGAUCGCGUAUGGGUGUCAAGACGGAAUUCAUGGCUGGUUCCCAAAUAGACGGUGUAGUAAAAGGUCGCGGUCUGGGAGUGACGGUGUCGGGAUGAAGGUGAGGCCCCGUUGGAGGAUCUCCUGUUCUGAUGGGGCGUUGAAGAGCAGAAAGGUUUGUAACAUUGGAUUGGGAGGUCGGAGGGGACUGCGCUGGGCCUGGUGGUCCAACUAUAAAUCCAGCUGGGUCAGCCAGUCCAGUAGCAUCGACCUCGCUGUCUCCGG
ensembl:lncRNA